rnacentral:tRNA from 1 species
GCCUGGGUGGCUCAGUCGGUUGGGCGUCUGACUUCGACUCAGGUCAUAAUCUCCUGGUCCGUGAGUUCAAGCCCCGCGUCGGGCU